rnacentral:rRNA from 1 species
UACGUAGGGUGCGAGCGUUGUCCGGAAUUAUUGGGCGUAAAGAGCUCGUAGGCGGUGUGUCACGUCGGCCGUGAAAACCUGCAGCUUAACUGUGGGCGUGCGGUCGAUACGGGCAUCACUGGAGUUCGGCAGGGGAGACUGGAAUUCCUGGUGUAGCGGUGAAAUGCGCGGAUAUCAGGAGGAACACCGGUGGCGAAGGCGGGUCUCUGGGCCGAUACUGACGCUGAGGAGCGAAAGCGUGGGGAGCGAACAGG